rnacentral:rRNA from 1 species
GAGGAAUUUUGCGCAAUGGGGGCAACCCUGACGCAGCAACGCCGCGUGAGUGAUGAAGGCUUUCGGGUCGUAAAGCUCUGUCGAGUGGGAAGAAACAGUUCAGGUUAAUAUCCUGAGCCUUGACGGUACCACUAAAGGAAGCACCGGCUAACUCCGUGCCAGCAGCCGCGGUAAUACGGGGGGUGCAAGCGUUAUUCGGAAUUAUUGGGCGUAAAGGGUGCGUAGGCGGUUUUGUAAGUCAGAUGUGAAAUACCGGGGCUUAACUUCGGAACUGCAUUUGAUACUGCAAGACGUGAGUAUGGGAGAGGAGAGCGGAAUUCCUGGUGUAGAGGUGAAAUUCGUAGAUAUCAGGAGGAACACCGGUGGCGAAGGCGGCUCUCUGGACCAAUACUGACGCUGAGGCACGAAGGCGUGGGGAGCAAAC